rnacentral:rRNA from 1 species
UAGGGAAUCUUCCACAAUGGACGCAAGUCUGAUGGAGCAACGCCGCGUGAGUGAAGAAGGUUUUCGGACCGUAAAGCUCUGUUGUUGGUGAAGAAGGAUAGAGGUAGUAACUGGCCUUUAUUUGACGGUAAUCAACCAGAAAGUCACGGCUAACUACGUGCCAGCAGCCGCGGUAAUACGUAGGUGGCAAGCGUUGUCCGGAUUAUUGGGCGUAAAGCGAGCGCAGGCGGAAGAAUAAGUCUGAUGUGAAAGCCCUCGGCUUAACCGAGGAAUUGCAUCGGAAACUGUUUUCUUGAGUGCAGAAGAGGAGAGUAGAACUCCAUGUGUAGCGGUGGAAUGCGUAGAUAUAUGGAAGAAUACCAGUGGCGAAGGCGGCUCUCUGGUCUGCAACUGACGCUGGGGCUCGAAAGCAUGGGUAGCGAACAGGAUUAGAUACCCUGGUAGUCCAUGCCGUAAACGAUGAGUGCUAAGUGUUGGGAGGCUUCCGCCUCUCAGUGCUGCAGCUAACGCAUUAAGCACUCCGCCUGGGGGAGUACGACCGCAAGGUUGAAAC